GGGAAAGAUAAAAUCAGAAAUGCCAUCAAAUCAAAUAAUUUAAGUAUGCAAACACCUUUAACAAUUCAAACGGCCAAAAGAACCUGGCCAGACAUUGCAAGAAAAUACUACAAUAAUCAAAUGGCCACUUUAAAUAAAAAGAAGAAAUCUGAAAUGUUUUUCACUACAAAAAAAUGGUGCGAAAAAAAGAAGGCUGAAGCAAAGGCUGCAGAAGAGAAGAUGGCUGCAAAAAAUGUUUAAGUAAACGUUGGUCAUGUUCAUCUACAUCGCCAAGUUACCUGAUCUACCUAGCUACGCUAUGAAAUAAUGGAACGGAACGCUUCGUGUGCAAGUCCGACUCACACUUGUCUGGUUUUUAUUAUUAUUAUUAUUAUUAUUAUGCGUCGGAACCAGUGAGCAACAAUUUUACAUAUACAUUUUUUCAAAAUGUGUUCCUAUUUGUCCAAACUGACUUUAUAACAUCUAAAACUGAUAAAAUAUUUUCUUAUUUUUCUAAUAUUCUCAAAUAAGCAAUAACGUCAAAAUAUGCACAAAUAUACAAAGUUCAAUUUUCAAUGUACCGGAACUUUGUUACAUUACCGGACACCUGUUUUUUUUUUUUUUUAGACUUAUGUAGUUAAUUAUACUGAAAACGUUGGGGAAGUCAGAAUUUGGCGGUCGGCCUUAGUUUCGAAGUUAUGUUUUAAUGAAGUUCGCUAUUUUACGAUUUUUGCACAUUCGCGCGUCACUAGUUUACUGCACCUAUUUCGAAUAUUGAUUUUUUUUUUGAAACCUAUGUACUUCAACGAGUUAAAAAUGACGGUGCAAUCAAAGUUAUAUAGCCAGACUUUGUUUUGAAGUUAUAUGCUAAGGCAGUUUCCAAUUGUGAGUUUUUACGCAUAUGCUCAACGCUCUAGAAGCUCUCUACGCCUAUCGGCUCCGGUCACCAAACUCGAGGUCCUGCGGACCUCUUACUGGAUGGGGCAGACGGAUGAACGUAAAAAAUAAUAUCGUAAAAUAGCAAACUUCAUUAAGCCAUAACUUCGAAACUAAGUCCAACUGCCAAAUUCUGACUUCACUAUCGUUCUCAGUAUAGUUAACUACAUAUGUCUGAAAAAAAAAUUGCAAAAAAAAGGGUGUCCGGUAAAGUAACAAAAUACCUCACAUUUAAAUCAGAAAAACAAAUAUUAUCGAUACCUAAUUUAAAUUAAAAUUAAAAUAAAGCCUUAGUUACUAGCUAGUGAGAAGUGUUAUGAAAUAUAUUUUGUAUAAAUUCAAAUUAAUAAAUACAAUUAUUCAUCACUCACAUUGUUCUCGCCUUUCUAGACAAAUAUGAAAAAACUAGAAUCUGAGGGCCCUUGUCAUUUAUAACUUAUAAUUUGUAGAUAAUAUUAUAUGCAUUUAAAUAAUAUAAUAAAUAUUACUAUAUUAAAAGUAACAAUACAUACAGUUAAAUAAAAACAACAAAAUUAUUAUUAUUUAUUAUAAGUUAACUUAUUUCAUUAUAAUAAUUGUACCUACCUAUAUACUUAGGGCAUGGAAACUUGAUGAUUUUUACGGUUUUGGUUUUUAUAAAAAAAAA